rnacentral:rRNA from 1 species
UACGUAGGGGGCAAGCGUUGUCCGGAAUCAUUGGGCGUAAAGAGCGUGUAGGCGGCUCGGUAAGUCCGCUGUGAAAGUCCAGGGCUCAACCCUGGAAUGCCGGUGGAAACUGUCGAGCUAGAGUCCGGAAGAGGCGAGUGGAAUUCCUGGUGUAGCGGUGAAAUGCGCAGAUAUCAGGAGGAACACCCGUGGCGAAAGCGGCUCUCUGGGACGGUACUGACGCUGAGACGCGAAAGCGUGGGGAGCAAACAGGG